GACGAACGCUGGCGGCAUGCCUAAUACAUGCAAGUCGAGCGAACAGAUGAAGUGCUUGCACUUCUGACGUUAGCGGCGAACGGGUGAGUAACACGUAAGGAAUCUACCUAUAAGCGGGGGAUAACACUCGGAAACGGGUGCUAAUACCGCAUAAUAUCUUCUUCCGCAUGGAAGAAGAUUGAAAGACGGCUCUGCUGUCACUUAUAGAUGACCUUGCGGUGCAUUAGUUAGUUGGUGGGGUAACGGCCUACCAAGACGGUGAUGCAUAGCCGACCUGAGAGGGUGAUCGGCCACAUGGGGACUGAGACACGGCCCAAACUCCUACGGGAGGCAGCAGUAGGGAAUCUUCCGCAAUGGGCGAAAGCCUGACGGAGCAAUGCCGCGUGAGUGAAGAAGGCCUUCGGGUCGUAAAACUCUGUUAUAAGAGAAGAACAAAUUGUAGAGUAACUGCUACAGUCUUGACGGUAUCUUAUCAGAAAGCCACGGCUAACUACGUGCCAGCCGCCGCUGUAA
rnacentral:rRNA from 1 species